GGAGCUCAGUGGAGGUAGAGCAUCAGCUUUACAUGCAAAAAAGGCCCCAGGUUCAAUCUCCUGGCAUAUUCA